AUCCCUACUUUAUCCAAUAUCUUUCCGUCUUUACCCCUUUCUCUUCAGUCUUUCCUCAUAGCAGAAACCCAAAAAGCAAACCCACGCCGUCCUCAGCUCCAUUGCCGCCAAAGAAGAUCGACGGCUACGCUUCGCGGUCGUCGUAUCUUAUCUCCACCAAAAAGCCAACCCCACGCCGUCCUCAUCUCCAUUGACGCCAAAGAAGAUCCACCAAAAAGCCAAACCCAAGCCGUCCUCAUCUCCACGAAAAAGCCAAACCCACGCCGUCCUCAUCUCCAUUGACGCCAAAGAAGAUCCACGGCUGGGCUUCACGGUCGUCGUAUCUCAUCUCCACCGUCAACAUUCGAAGAUCGAGCCCGAGAUCGAGCUUUUGUCGCCGCCGACCCAUCACUCGAAGAUCCAGAUGGUAGACACAAUGCAUGACGAUCUUGACGAUGGCCUUCGGUUCCGAAAUUGCAAUUGUUUCUGUGGCUUGAAAGCAAGUGUGAAGAUUUCAGAUAAACGAAAUGAGAACCGGUACAGGCUUUUCCAAUGUUGCCCAAAGGACACAUGUCGGUUUUUUCAAUGGUGUAUUCCCUUGAAGACGCCAGUGUCAUAUGCGGAUGAUUUCCAGCAACUACAAGAAGAGCUAUGUGUAUUGCGAGAGGAAUUGAGGGUCAUACAUGACAAGGUCCACCCCUCAGACCAACCGAAGAAAAUGGUGAAAAUUAGGUUCAUUGCUUGGUGUUUGUUUUUCACCGCGCUUGCAAUACUGCUAACUAUGACGAUGUUGUAAACCAAAUUGUUAUGAUGAUGUGUUAAUUCCUACUAUGUAAUCAUAUUAUCUUAUUAUGUACUACUAACUCCUUUUGAACUUGAUGCACUGUGUAAUAUUUUUAGACAAUCUUGAGUCAUCCAUUUUGGUAGUGUAUAGAAUAUGUAUCGGGCUGACUCUUGAUUCUUACAAUAGUAUGUUAUUGGCUUAAUGUAAUGUAUGCCUAGUACUGAUAAUUUAUUGGAACAUAGGAGAAUUGUAAGUUACAAUUCUCUUCUA